GGGUAGCAAUAUUCUUUAGUCAGAGUGGCGCAAGGGUGCGUAACACGUGGGUAAUUUGCCAUGAAGCCCGGAAUAACUCGCUGAAAGGCGAGCUAAUGCCGGAUGUGAUUUUCGGGAAGCAUUUCCUGAAACUUAAAGCUGGGGACCGUAAGGCCUGGCACUUCAUGAUAAGCCCGCGGCCUAUCAGCUAGUUGGUGAGGUAAUGGCUCACCAAGGCUAAGACGGGUAGCUGGUCUGAGAGGACGACCAGCCACACUGGAACUGAGAUACGGUCCAGACACCUACGGGUGGCAGCAGUCGAGAAUUUUUCACAAUGGGCGCAAGCCUGAUGGAGCGACGCCGCGUGGGGGAUGAAUGGCUUCGGCCCGUAAACCCCUGUCAUUUGCGAACAAACCUUGCUAUUUAAAAGAUGGUGAGCUGAUUGUAGCGAAAGAGGAAGGGACGGCUAACUCUGUGCCAGCAGCCGCGGUAAUACAGAGGUCCCGAGCGUUGUUCGGAUUCACUGGGCGUAAAGGGUGCGUAGGUGGUCCUGGGUUGUAAAUCCUCCUUCCAUUCUCAACUCGGAAACUGCAUCGGAUACUAUUCGGCUCGAGGGUUGGACCGGGGGACUGGAAUACUUGGUGUAGCAGUGAAAUGCGUAGAUAUCAAGUGGAACACCAGUGGCGAAGGCGAGUCCCUGGACAACUCCUGACACUGAGGCACGAAAGCUAGGGGAGCAAACAGGAUUAGAUACCCUGGUAGUCCUAGCCGUAAACGGUGCACGUUUGCUGUAAAAGGAAUCGACCCCUUUUGUGGCGAAGCUAACGCGUUAAACGUGCCGCCUGGGAAGUACGGUCGCAAGAUUAAAACUCAAAGAAAUUGACGGGGGCCUGCACAAGCGGUGGAGUAUGUGGCUUAAUUCGAUGCAACGCGAAGAACCUUACCUGGCCCUGACAUGUAUGUAGUAGAAGCGUGAAAGCGUGACGAGGUAGCAAUACCAGCAUACACAGGUGCUGCAUGGCU
rnacentral:rRNA from 1 species